AGCACACCUCAGACUAACACAGUCCCCAUUAAACCUUUGAUUAGUACUCCGCCUGUCUCAUCACAGCCAAAGGUUAGUACUCCAGUAGUUAAGCCAGGACCAGUGUCACAUUCGGCUACACAGCAGCCCGUGACUGCUGACAAGCAGCAGGGCCAUGAUCCUGUCUCUCCACGAAGUCUUCAGCGCUUAAGGUUAGUUGGUUAAUACUGUGUUAUUAUUUAUUUUUAAUAUGGCAUCCUAUGCUGUUUGAGCAAGAUGUACUCCAUCUCAGAAGAAUUUGACAGGCUCAUGGAUGACUUUUACUAAACAAGUCACACAGUUCACAAAGAAGUUUAAAGGCAUCUUUAAGCUGUAACUAGAUGGAAAUAAACUGUGUGCUACUUGUAUAGGAAAGGCACGUGGCAUUGUGUUUGCCACAGUAUUUGCUUUUUAGCCUACUCAUAGAAAUUUUGAGAGUAUUGGUGAAAUAAAAGAAAAAAAAAUCCUCACCUCCAAAACCAAUGUUACACAUCCUUAAAGUCUUUAAAUCUAACCUCAUUCAGAUCACUUUUCAUAUUGUUAUAAAUGUCAUAUAUAUGUGUUAUGUUAUGAAUAAUUGUUACAAACUGUUUGUACUUUUCUGUGCUCAUUCUGAAUGGUUUUUUGUGUAUACUUGCUUUCUGGCCAAGUAUUUCAGAAUUUAUACAUUGAAAUGAGAAUUUCUUCAUUCUAAAUGAUCCCUUUAGAAGUCAGCAAUGUUGCCAUUGCUCAGAACAGUUUUGGGAAAUUCUUAUUUUAAAUAAUGUUUAGAGGAUGCAGUGUUACUUUAAAUAUAUCUUCAGUGAUGAAAAUUCUUUUAGAAAUUUAGUUUUGGGGAAUAACUGAAAUCUGUUCAAGGCCAAGUCUGGUGAAGCAGGUACGUAAUCAGCUUGGGUGGUUGAGAUUUUGGUUUUUAUCACCAUAUGUCCCCAAGCCCUGUCCCAGAGUAUUCAGAUUUCAGGGA
rnacentral:lncRNA from 1 species